CCGCGGCGCGCGGCGGGCGGGGCGGGGGCACGGGGGGAACGCGAAGAACCUUACCUACUCUUGACAUCCAGAGAACUUACCAGAGAUGGAUUGGUGCCUUCGGGAACUCUGAGACAGGUGCUGCAUGGCUGUCGUCAGCUCGUGUUGUGAAAUGUUGGGUUAAGUCCCGCAACGAGCGCAACCCUUAUCCUUUGUUGCCAGCGGUUCGGCCGGGAACUCAAAGGAGACUGCCAGUGAUAAACUGGAGGAAGGUGGGGAUGACGUCAAGUCAUCAUGGCCCUUACGAGUAGGGCUACACACGUGCUACAAUGGCGCAUACAAAGAGAAGCGACCUCGCGAGAGCAAGCGGACCUCAUAAAGUGCGUCGUAGUCCGGAUUGGAGUCUGCAACUCGACUCCAUGAAGUCGGAAUCGCUAGUAAUCGUAGAUCAGAAUGCUACGGUGAAUACGUUCCCGGGUCUUGUACACACCGA
rnacentral:rRNA from 1 species